UCGUCCCUGGGGUGUUUGCCAGUCGGAGAUGUCCCUGAGCCGAUACUUCUGUACCAGGGGGGUGGCCGUCGCGGCGGUGUGCAUGUCCGCUCGCCGGAAAGCCUGAAGCCGCACCCUGCUCUCCGCCUUGAACUUUCGGGUUCAAGGGCUAACCCGACAGCGGCAUUCCCGGGGAUUCC
rnacentral:other from 1 species